rnacentral:rRNA from 1 species
AUUGAACGCUGGCGGCAUGCUUUACACAUGCAAGUCGAACGGCAGCGCGGGCUUCGGCCUGGCGGCGAGUGGCGAACGGGUGAGUAAUGCAUCGGAACGUGCCCAGUAGUGGGGGAUAGCCCGGCGAAAGCCGGAUUAAUACCGCAUACGACCUGAGGGUGUAAGCGGGGGACCGAAAGGCCUCGCGCUAUUGGAGCGGCCGAUGUCGGAUUAGCUAGUUGGUGGGGUAAAGGCUUACCAAGGCGACGAUCCGUAGCUGGUCUGAGAGGACGACCAGCCACACUGGGACUGAGACACGGCCCAGACUCCUACGGGAGGCAGCAGUGGGGAAUUUUGGACAAUGGGGGCAACCCUGAUCCAGCCAUGCCGCGUGCGGGAAGAAGGCCUUCGGGUUGUAAACCGCUUUUGUUCGGGAAGAAAUCCUCUGGGCUAAUACCCCGGGGGGAUGACGGUACCGGAAGUAUAAGCACCGGCUAACUACGUG